rnacentral:lncRNA from 1 species
AUAGAUAAGUCGAAAUCUUCUAUGGUAAAUAAGACUGUUACAAUGUGAAGCCAAUUUGUAUCCCAUUGCCAAUGGAACAGUAGGAAUUACUUCCCACCAAUCAAAAACAUAUCUGCAGCACCACAGCUCAAAGACAUGAAUCUCCGUGAAAUCGCCUAUUGAGGAGUUGAUCGUGUAACAACCAACCAACCUUGCCUCAAGCAAACACGAAGAACAAAGACCAUCCAUGCAUAUUUAAUUCACCCAUUAAAAGUUGAAGGAUAAGGAGAGAAGAUAAAUAAUCAUAGCCAUGUUACCUAGUCAGGGCAAGGAUGAAUUAUUAGCAUGUUUCUCAAAUCCCAAUCCCAAACUAAUCAUUUCUCUUCAUUUUGUUGAGCUCAGCGAAGGAACUACCAAAUCUUACUGAAAGUAUUUAAGUGAAGACUGUCAUAACUCAUUUUUGGGUCACUCCUAAAUUUUUUUUCCUUUUCUUCAAAAAAAAAUAAAAAAAAAACUGCACGGUGCCGUUUUGAACGGCACAGUGCAGCUUCUUCUCCCCUGCAGAGACAGGGGAGAAGAAGAUUUUAAAUCUUUUCCCCGCUCUCUCUCUCCACCCCACUUACCCAAAAAACCCGCGUGACCCAUACCCACACAACCAUACCCUGCAAGUAUUAUGGAAGAAAAAUGAGACGGAAACCAUGCCCUGCCAGCAGCUCCCAUCACCCACCUUACCCUGCGCCAUGGCAGGGGUAAGGUGAUCCUCUCCUCCUCUACUUAUAAAUACCAGAGGAGGAACCAGCAACCGGGGGGGAAAUUUUUUGGGAGAGCAGAGGGAAGCAAGCUGCAGAAACGAAAAAAAAAGGGGAAACAAGAGGGGGCAAAACUUUUGAGAAACGAACUUGAAGGGAGGAACAAAUUUGAGAAAGGAGACAGGGGAGGUUUACAAAGAAGCAGAAACAGAGGGGGGGGUUUUCGGGUCCAAAGUUAGAAAACAAAAUCAUCCUUUUCGGGUUCCCAGCAGCUGCUCCUCCCUCUCCACCGUGGCCUUCGGCCACCACCAUCCAGCACCGCCAUUCCGCCACCAUCGGCGCUGCCACCAGCAGCAACAGAGGAGAAACCGAAACAAAACAGAGAAGGAGAAAGAACAAGAGAGAGAGCAGAAACAGAGAGGAAGCAAAGGAGAGAAAGGAGAAGAACCACCGGCUGCUAUCCUCUCCACCGCCACCAGCAUCACCGCCAGCUGCCAUUGCCCUCCCAGUCGACAACAGCCCCGUGAGAAGCAGAAGGAAGAAACGGAAACAGAGGCGAACAGAGCUGAAGAAAAACGCAGAGAAGAAGAGGAAGAAAGGCCGACCACCGUCCAAGCCACUCCCCCAGGCCGCCACCACCAGCAUCUCCAACCGCCGCUGACAGCCACGAAGAGACAGAGGAGAAGAAGAGAAGAUAACGGAAAAACAGAGGAGAGGGGGGCUGAGAAGAGAAACAGAGGAGACAGGAGAGAAGGAAGGAUAACGCCGCCGCUGUCACCGCCAACUUCCACCACCGCCGACGACCACAACCGUGCUUCCCCACUCCAGGUAACCUGCUCACUCCCGCUGCCUUUUGUUUACUUGCUCUUCCCUGUUUUCAUUCUUUUUUUUUCAUGCAGAACGUGAUUCACGUUCUGCAGCAAAGAAUGAAAUAAUUAGGUAGUUACUGUGCUGAGCACAGUAACUACCUAAUUAUAUUUAGCUGGUUACUGUGCUCAGCACAGUAACCAGCCGUUGUCUGGUGGGCUGGAACAUCAGCCCAGCCCAUGCGGCUGGGCUGAGGCCAGCCUUGUAGUUGGGCCAAUGCAGGCCCAGCCCAGGAUGGGUGGGCCGGGCCCGGCUCCUUUUUUUAAAAAAAAAAAACUUGCCAAAAAAUAUUGUUUGGGAUUUUUUUUUUUACAAUUUCCUCGCGUAUUUGUUACGUUGUUUUUUAUCAAUAUCGGACUUUAUUUUUAUGUCAUUAAAAAUACAAAAUCCAGUAUUAAAAUACCCGGUUUUCGUCAAAACUUCCAAAAUACAAAAAACUUUGAAAAAAAAAAUUUUGUGCAUAUGGCCAAGUGUCUCAAAGCUAAAAAAUCAUAUUGUGUUUUUUAUACACCAAAAAACAAUGUUUUAGCAUGCAUUUUGGCUUUAAUAACCAGUUUAUUAAAGUCAAGAGAACAUUGGCCAAAAUUUCAAAAAAACAACAAAAAAUUUUAUUUUGUUUUGUCUUUUAGUAUCCGGGGUACGAUAUUACAUGUAAUACGUAUUCCGGAUAUUAAAUCUUUUUCCAAUGUUAGAACAGUUAGGUUCUACCCCAUAAGAUAAGAACCUCCUUAUUGAGGAGGGCUUUUCUUGAAUCUUAAAUAGACAGGACCAAUAAUUAGAAAACACGACCAAGCCUUAGAUUUUGAUCAGACAAAUAAAAAUAAUGCAGCUUACCUUAGGUAGGGCGUAUUUGGGGUGCUAAUACCUUCCCUUUACGCAACCAGUCUCCGUACCCGAUCUCUGAGACCAGUUAGGGUUCCUAGUGACCAGAAUACUAGGUGGCGACUCCCAUUCUAUUUUUUCCACCGCUAAGAGACAAAUAAUUCCUUUUCUCCCCGUAUUUUCCAGAUACACACACAAUUGAGUGUGGAGGGCGAUCGCCGCGACGCCGCACACGUGCGACAAAGACAACAAAUAGAUGUGUACUGUUUUAUUUGAACUGAAAAGAAUUGAUUGCUUACAGAUCAUUGCAAUCCUUACAAAUAUAUAGUAAACCAAACAAACUGAAUUGCUAACUUAAAGCACCAAAUCAUGCAAAAUGCUACCAUCAUUACCUUCAAAUCUAUAGUUAAUUCCAUUUUUCUAUAAAAGACAAAACCAUCAGUAUCCAAUAGUUGCCGACUUCACCACGGGUUCAACAUUUUUUUGACAAGUUGGGAUUCGAUACUAAUGAGCAUAUUUUCUUAAGUUGAAAUAGUGCUACCCAAUCUAGGUUACAGUGGGUUGAUGAAUUAAAGAGCAGUUGUUAUUUGACACUGCAAUUAGAUGGCUCAUAUUUGAUUUACGGAGCUAUGAUAUGGGAAUCGUGCUUGUAUCACAUAUAAAAAUAUUUACAUAGUAACAAGCAUUAUUAAAGAUGGUACACUAGUAAGUUUCCAAAUGCUAUCAACAAAUAUUAUAACCUCUUAAUUUAUACAAGGAUUGAGCUAAAUUGCAUACAAGCAAUCCCUAACUUUGGUAGUUUCUUUGUGUUAAAAAUGGAGACUUCUUGGUGUUUGCCGGAACUCCAACUUGGGUAUACCUUUUGUGAACAAGAAACAAGGUAAAAACAUCUUUCAACGAUAUCAAAUCAUUUAUUCAUAUAAAGUAUUAGUGUUGUCAUUUAAUUUCACUACAUUGAAGAAAAUUCUGAUUUGAUACCAAUUCAUGCUUGGCACGACUGUUACAUGACACCUGGGAUGCUCAGCAACACUACAUCCACAAUCAUGACGACGAACACUGAUGCAGCCACGAAAACAUCAAAACACUAUUUGCUUUGGUAGUAGUAUUGACUGCAAACUUGGUUGACCAACAGAAUCCCUGCCUUCAGCCAACCCCAAAUUUGACUAUCAUCGUAUAAUAUUGAUCGUCACAUUAUAUUUUCCAACUUUUAAUAGGAUUUUAAGGACAAGUUACAGUUGAAAGCUAAUAUAACAACAUUCUUAAAUUCACAUCCUACCGACCAUUAUGGCUAUUAGCUUCCAACCAUUCUCCAUGUUUCACUUUUCUUCAAGUAUUUUCACCAAAAUAAAGCUUCAACCUUUAAAGUUUUGCUUAUAAAGUCAAGAUCCAUGGGGAUUAUUUAAGAUUUUAUGGGAAGCAUUUCAAAUAUUUUAUGUUUUUUUUUAAAAAAAAUAUUGUUAUAGACAUAGAAUCAACAAGAUUGUGUGACAUUCUAUAUUGAUUUUGUGAUAUUUUAAUCACUAAAAGUAUGGUUUCAGAAAGAUAAAAACCAAACAAAAAAUUGAAAAAAUUAAAAAUUUUCAAACCAACAGAAUCCAACAUAUUGAUCAGUUUUGGUCUGAUUUGAUUCGGAUAUUUUUUAGCUGAAACAAUUAAUAACCAUUUUCAAAAGGUAAGUAUUGACAAGCCUUUCACGAAACCAUGUUCAUUUAUGCUGAAUCAAUCCAAAUCAGGUUCAGGUUGCUAACUCAAACUAACACAAUCCAAAAUUGAAUGCACACAGACUCUGAGUUGUUUCAGUUUAAUGAUUUUUAGAAAUGUCAAACUGAAACCGAACCGAAAUAUAUGAAUAUUUCUAACUGAGACACCCCCAAAUAUUAAAAAAAUAAUUGGUUUUGUUUUGUUUAGUUUGGUUAUAGCAGAUACCCCUAACAAUCUGCUUUUUCACUCGACAUCAAACAACAAGCACUAAUAUUAUGUCUGUAAGUAAAUUACUAUAAAGUAUAAAAAUAUAUGUGGAUAAUUGAAAAUUUGCUUAGAGUUGCUAAUAAUUCACAACUGCAACAACCAACACGACCAGGUAAUGCUUGGGAAUGGGAUCAUGUAAUGCCCGGGAAUGGGCCUUGGUGCACAAUCAUGAUUGUAACCAUGAUUUAAAAUCAUUUCCACACUAGACUAUCCAAGACAAUUGGUAUUGGAUUGUUAGCAACAAUUCAGUUUAUAAUAAUAAUAAUAAUGUUGAUUCUUUUAUCUCCUACUUAAUGCAAGUGUCCAUCGUGUGCUGAAAUUGAUUGUUUACCUCAUAUUUCUUUUAAAGGUAGAGAUUUCUUGGUUGACAAUGGGAAAAAGUAAUCGCAUGGUUAUUUUCCAUAAGAUUCAUUUGAGUAAAUAUUCUCUAUUGGAGGUCAAUUUCAUCGAAGCAAUUACUUCAAGGAACACAUCCUAACUAUCAACCUCUAAGUAGUCAUCUCCCUUAUCCUAAUUUUUUAUUUCCUAAUAAAAUCUCACGGUUUUUCAUCAUGUUCAAAGGAAAAGUUGACGUUGCAAAUGGUGCUCUAAGGAACCAAGUCAUCCUAGAACUAAUCAUCCACCUAAUCUCAUCAACUCCUUGUUGCACAAACAGCUUGUCUCACUUAAAGGGGAUUUUAAUGAUGAACAAACACCAACUCCUUGUUGCUCAAAUACAUAUGCUCAUUUAAACACAAUUUUGCAUUACCUAGAACUGACAAGGCCUAAAAUCCCGGAAAUAGAAUUUUGUUUUAAAGGAACUUCAGGAUUUCUAUAUAGGAUGCUUGACCUCAUUAAAGAUAAACUGAGGACAUCCAUAACAUAAAUUAUCUUCCUUGCCCCAAAGUCAGCACAGAAAAACCCAAUUUAGCAUUCUUAUGCAAACUACAACUGCAGAAGGCUUGCACAUGUAGGGGAGGUAGGAAGAACUGCUAUGAAUUUGAUCUCAAAGGGGUACCACCUCAUAUGCCUACAGGAGAUACAUGACCAGUGAUGGUUGUUCUAUCCACAAAAUUAGCUAACAUACGACUAUUUUAUUCAACUACCAUUUCAGGAUAUGAGUUCUCCUAGCCACACUCAAAAGCCCUAGCCGCUAUAUGAACAAAGCACCUAAAAAAUUAAUCACCUACCUAAUCUAAUUCAGGAAAUUUUGGUCAAAAUCUCCUACAAUGAAACGAGUUAUUUGAAUGCAUAGACAGGAAAUUCAGGGUAAACACACACACAACCCCCUGAUCAUAAAUUUCCUAAAGAAAUUCUGAAUUGUAACAUUGGUAAACAAAGUGGUGACAAUAUCAUCACAUUAAAAAUGCAUUUCACUCAAAACAAAUACUAGCUCAAGAAAAAAAAUUGCAAGAAGCCAAUAGAGAAUAAAGUAAGCAGUCCAUAAACAAGAGACAGAGAGACAUUGUUCCAAUACAGAAAAGUAAUUAAAACCCAAUAACUAAAACUGAGAAAGAAUCAAACCAGUGAGUAACUAAUCCUUUUAAAGCAUUCCAAGAAUGGCAACCAAAUGUAACAUAAUCAACCUGCAAAAACAAACACAAAAAGAAUUAGAAGAAGAAACCCCAUUAGUUAAUAAGUUAAAACAGCAGCAGCAGCAAAAAGACUCAAAUUUUAGUUAUUUGGACUUGAGAAAAAGCACUGAACCCUCUGUGAAAAUGCCAUGAAAGGGGUGCUAAGAAACCAGGAAAAUAAAACUUUUAAAAGGGUGUUUUUACAAAGCAAGAAAGAAGCUAGGAAGCAAGCCAGCCUACCCUCACGAACUCUGUUUGUUUAAUUGUUUUUUCUCCUUUGAAGUGAAAACAAAAAAAGAAAAAAAGAAAAAAAAAACAAAGAGCACCCGGAAAAUCUAGUCAGAAAUAUUUUAUGUUGUUGUCUUGGAGUGACGCAGAUACCGAGGAACAGUUGUGGGGCCACCAUUGGUGAGCAGUGAUACAGUGGCAAGUAUGUGAAAUAACGCAUAUUACAGUGCGCAAUGAUAGAGUGAGUCUGGGUGGACAAACUUUUGGUGGUACACGUGGUGCUUAAUGAUUUGACGGCUAUGGAGAGAAGUUACAUGAGGGAAAUAAGAUGGAAAAAGUGGCCUCUCUAGAUUUUGGAAAUGUUCUCUGAAGAAAGAAAGAAAAUAAUUUCAAAGGUGGACAAAAAUAGGGUAAUAUCAGAUUUGGAACAUAAUCUUGGUUGGUGAAGAAUAACAUAAUCUAAGGAGAAAUCUAGGGCAAGCCAGUGAGAUUUGAGCUUCGAUUUGGGACCAAUUUAUAGCUGGAUAAUACCAUCAUGGGUGAUGUCCAGCUCAUAAAGUUAUCAGAUUCUGUGUGUGUGAGGCUGCCAUAUGUUUCUUUCUUCUAUGAUGGAUAAAAAACGCUAAGCAAUUAACCCACCUAGUAAAAAAGGUAUUAUGGUUAUGAUAAAAACUCUACAGCCUGUGAUUCUAUUUUUGAAGAUAUUCUUAUUAUAUUUAUAAUUAUAAGAAUCUUUAAAAAAGACACGGGUAAAAUAUUAUUCUCACAUCACUAUUCACUGGUGUUAUAGGCUUAAAUUGAUAGAUAAAUUAAGUAAAUUUAUUGAGGAAAAGCAAAAUUUAAAUAUAGAUAAUCAAAGUGAAAACAAAAGCGCAAAAAAAAAUGGUAGUUUCAUGAUUGAAGCUAAAAAUUCACUUUGAUUCUUAUACUUUUCAAAUAAUGACUUUUUGGUCCUUUAAGUUUUCCUACAUUUUAUUUUUUAUCCACAAAUUUAUUUUUCUAUGUUCUCAUUCCCUAAUUUGAUAGAGGAGACAAAAAGUCAUUGGAUUACAAUGUUAAAGAGAGUCUCUGUAGCAGCCUCAACAUUUGUAUUAAAACAAAGAGCACGGACAUGAUGAUUCAAAUAAAAUUAGGGAUUUUUUUUUAAUCAAUAAAAAAUUCGGCAGAGUUUUCUCUAUAUUUUUAGGUAUCAAGUUAUCGACUUUUCAUCUACAAUCCCUAAUUAUCAAAUUUCUUACUCAUCCUAUCAUCCAGGACUUCCUCCUCUCAUUACAUCACAACUUCUAAAUAAUCAAAUUCACACAUGUCUAAACAAUUCAAUAUCCCACAUUUACAUGGAUACAAUCCAAAGAAUUGUUCUACAAAUUAUAACUGAAGUACAUUACACAAUUCAAAAAUUUACAAAUAAGGACCAUUAACGAAAUUAUAAUCGAAAUAAGUACGUAAUUAAAGAAGAAAUUCAUAAUUAAGAUUAUACUACACAAAAGAGCUUUCGAUAAACUGUUGACGCAUUAUAUUACAUAACAAAAUGAUAAAUUCAUUCAUUACAAAAAAAAAUACCAAACAAAAUAUAAGAAAACUAAUCUACUGUUCAAUCCGAUAGGGGGAUGUACCUGAAAAUUAAUUUAAUACAAUAAUUCGAUUAGACAGAUGAAGAAAAGAUAUCCAUAAAAUUCUUUUUACUUUCUUUCUUUCUUCCUUUUUUUUUUUUGAAAAUUUAGUCAAAAGAUCAUUAAAUUAACUUGCUCAUAUAGUAUUAUAUAUAUCAAUUAAAUUUCAGAAUAAUCUAUUAGUUUGUUUUCUUUUUCUUUUUUAACAUCAACCAAAAAAAUAAUUAUUCCCAUCGCCCAAUUAACCCGGCAUUACUUUCACUAAUAGAUGAUUAAUUUUCCACCAGUCCAUUCAACAAGCACUAUUGUCAUCAAUCCAAAAAUUAGUUUAACGUUUAAUCCAUUCAUCAGGGUACAAAUCCCAUUAACCAGGAAAAUUAAUUCUUCAUCUCGCCUAUUAAUUUGCCAGGGCACUAAUUCUAUUAAAUCACGAAUUAGUUCAACAAUUUACCCAUUAACCAAGGACUUAAUUCCUCAUCACGCCCAUUCACUAGGACAUUAAUCCCAUUAGUUCAAGAAUUAAUUCAUCACAUCGCAUAUCUUAUUUUUUAAAAUAAACAAUAUAAUAAUUACUAAUUUAUCAACCAUAAUUAAUCAAAUAAAAAUACAUAUUAACCAAUAAUAAAUUCGGGCACCGUGUAAUUACCUAACGACUAAGCUCGAGCUGAAAUUCCCUGCUGUGGUGUCAGCCUGACAGCUUCUCUUGAAUUGACAAGCAUAUCACAUCAUUAUUCUACUUUCCAUAUUGAAACACUCAAUAAAUAAAAUCAUUCCAAUUAUCCUUUUAUUUAUCAAAAUAAAAUCAUUUUGUAAAUUUCCUUCCUAUUCUUCCAAUUUCCACAUUGUAACACAAUUCAUUUCAUCAUUCAAAUCAAUAUAUAUAUAUUCUUUAAAUUUAUUUAUUUAUUUUUUACCGUAAUUUAAAUCAAAGAAAAACAUAAAAAAUUUCAUGAUCUAUUCACUCUUUAACAUUAAUAUCAUCUCUUUCUUACACAAUCUCAUCAUCUUAUCAAAAUUCUUAAAUUUUUAUUUUUCUUAUUAUUAUUUUUCCAAAAAUCCCUUCUUCAAGAACACCUAAAAUUUUGCUUUAAUUACCAUAAUUUUUUACUUUCUCUACUCACUUCAAUAAUCUUAACACAAUUUCACAAUCAAUUGUAAUUUUUCAUAAAAUUUAUCAUGAACCCUAAUUCUUCAAUUCACAAAGUUCAAUCAAUUUAAAACAUAAAUUCUUCAAGAAUCUUAUUUAAAAGUGUAAGGGCACCUUACCAAGCAAUAACCAAAGCCUUAACACUUUUAAAUUAAGAAAUUUUCCUUGCUUGAAUUUGUUUUUCCUCUCCUAGCCGAAUGCUUCCUUCUCUUUGAAAAAGCAAGUUUGUUCUUUAUUUUUUGGUUUCCUUACAACACACACUCACUUGCACUCAUAUAUAUCAAUUUUUUCUCCCCCCCUCCCCCUCCCCCCCCACACUUACACACAUAUAAUUACUUAACUUUUAAAAAAUGCCUUCUAUAUCCCUCAAUACUAAAUUUUAUGAUUUUUGGGUAAAAUUUCAUGAAUCCUGACUCCUGUUUAUACCAAAUUUUACACGGGUUAUUUCAAAUUUCACUCAAUUACUCGUUAGUACUUUCAGUUUCAUGAAAUUCACUUUCAUAAAAAUUCUAUUCAUAUUUUUGUGUUUUUUUAUUUAUUUUUAUUAUAUAUAUAUAUAUAUAUAUUAACACCCGAACAAAACACUUCAAUUCAGAUUCUCGAAUAUAUCAUCAUUCUUAUAAUUUAAUUUAUCACUUUCCCUCAUUUUUUGUAAUUUUAACUUUUAUUAAUAUCAAUAAUAUUACCCGAGGUUUUAUAGUCUCAGUUGACACUGAUUUUCACCAUAAAAAAUGGUCGAUUUUUGUUUUAAUGAAUUUCAUUUGAUGAAGAGAGUUUCAUUGAAUUUUUUUUUUCCCUUUAAAUUGCCAAAAAAUUUAUGGUUUUUGGGCUAUUUUAUUAGUUUAUCACAUCAUAAAGACCAUUUUUAGGUGUUUUGGUGUGAACUUUGCUUAAAUUUGCAUUUUCGGGUCAAAAACACCCUGCUUAAUUUUCUAGUCACCUCUCCAAUGGUCAAACAGGAAAGUCUCGGUAGGUGACAUGUCGCUUUUUUUUUUCAAAAUUAUUUGGAGCAUUUUCAAAUAAAAAAAGGCCCAUAUGUACCAACCCUUUUUAAAAUGGGCUUGAUGUGUAGGCCUGACUUACUAGGCCCAAAAGCACUUGAUCUAUUUCUAUUUUUUUUUCUAAUUUUGUUUUCUUAAUUGAUAUUUUUUUAUGUAUUUUUAAUGAAUUUUUGAAUUUAUAUUUAAAUUAAUACUUUUCUCUCUAAAUAUUUAGAUUGUUUAUUUAGUUUUUUUUUUAAAUAUAGGUUAUCUUUUACUUAUCUUUUAUGUAUUUAAUAUCUAGAAAAAAAUAUUUCAAUUCAUCUAUAUGGUUUUUUUAUAUUUUAUAUGAAUAAACUUUAUUUUCAUGGCGUGUUUAUAAAAAUAAGAAUUAUUUGUUCUUGGUAAGAAAAAGUGACCUUUAAGAUAAAAAAAAAAAAAAAGAAAAGGAGAAAAGUGUGUAUGAAGAGGAAAGUUAAGGUUAAGUAUCAUAUUUAUGUAUCUUUUACUUUUAUGAAAAUGAUUAUCAUUUUAUUUUAUAAUUUGAUUGGCAUUAAGAACUCUUUAUUAGUUUAUUAGUUCAUAUUUUUGUAAGAUUUGUUUUUUACAUUUCUCAAUUAAGAGAAUCGUAAUACAAUGAAAUGCACUUUAAACAUUAUCCUAUUUUUCUACUACAUUAAAAAUUAACUUAAGAUCCUAUAUGUGGCACGAUGCGUUAACAACUAUUUUUUGUAUUUAUAAACACUUAUGGUCCUUACUUUAUUUUUAUUAUAUGUAAACAUCAACUUUUUUAUUCACAAUUAUAAUUUUCUCUUGAUUUUUAAAAAUACAUUAACAACAUUUAUACAUUUUUCUUUUGCGUUCAAAAAAUUAUCUGACUCGUAACAAAAUGAAUUAAAUAAACAUGUCAACACUUUUUUUUUGUAUUUAUGAUUAGGAUUUGUUUUUAUUAAAAAUGCAAUUGAAAAGCAUACAAAUUUAUUUUUUUGCUAAAAACAAUUUUGUGAUGCAUAACAAAGUACGAGUUAAAUAACUACUAAUAUGGCUAUAGUAAGUCUUUUAGUAUAUAUGGAUGUAGGAAGCAAUGUGUUAUAUUAUUAGUUAGAUAUAACUUACCUAUUCAUUAUUAAAAAAACAUAAAAUAAAUAAAUAUAUUAAUAGAAACCUAAAAGAGAUCGGCUGAAAUAUAAUAUUUUUGUCCUUUUUUUAUUUUGUUUCACAUUUCUCAAUUAAGAGAAUCAUGAUAUAAUGAAAUGUAUUUGAAACACCGUCCCAUUUUUCUACUACAUUAAAAAUUAACUUCCUACAUGUGGCGCGUUGCGUUAACAAUUGUUUUUGUAUUUAUUAACAUAUAUGAUCUCAAGUUUAUUUUAUUAUACGUAAAUAUUAACUUUUUUUAUUCACAAUUAUAUUUUUUCCUCUCGAUAUAAAAAAAUACAUUAACAACACUUAUACAUCCAUUCUUUUGUGUUGGAAAAUAUUAUUUGACCCAUAGCGAAGCGAGUUAAAUAAACACGUCAAUACCUUUUUUUGUAUUUGUGAUUAGGGUUUAUUUUUUUUUUGUUAAAAAAAUACAUUUGAAAAGCAUUUAUAUUUAUUUAUUUUGCUAAAAAACAUUUCUUACCCUUAGUAAAGUGUGAGUCAAAUAACUACUAAUAUGGCUAUAGUGAGUGUCUUUUUAUACAGUAUACUUGGAUGUAGGUAGCAAUGUAUUAUAUUAUUAGUUAGAUAUAACUUACCUAUUCAUUAUUAAAAAAAAACAUAAAAUAAAUAAAUAUAUUAAUAGAAACCUAAAAGAGAUCGGUUGAAACAAUAUAGUCUCCCUAAAUUAGCGAAAGCCAGCAAGGUAUCUGCUCGAAAAAACAAAUGGGCAAGCAAACAUACGCCCUUACUUCUGGAGGCUUGUACGAUAAUGGGCAAGCAUCAUUGUUUUUUUGGGGGCUUGUACGAUAAUGACUAAACACACAACAUUACAUUACUUCUAACUUCUUCAGCAAACACAGAUAGAUAAGUCGAAAUCUUCUGUAUUCCCAUUGCCAAUGAAACAGUUGGAAUUACUUCCCACCAAUCUAAAACAUAUUCGCAGCACCAACCUUGAAAUCAUGUAACAGCUAACCAACCUUGCCUGAUGCAAACAUGAAGAACAAAGACAAUCCAUGAUUUAAUUCAACCAUUAAAAUUUGAAGGUAAAGGAGAGGAUAAAUAAU